rnacentral:rRNA from 1 species
UGGGGAAUUUUGGACAAUGGGCGAAAAGCCUGAUCCCAGCAAUGCCGCGUGUGUGAAGAAGGCCUUCGGGUUGUAAAGCACUUUUUGUCCGGAAAGAAAUCCUUGGCUCUAAUACAGUCGGGGGAUGACGGUACCGGAAGAAUAAGCACCGGCUAACUACGUGCCAGCAGCCGCGGUAAUACGUAGGGUGCAAGCGUUAAUCGGAAUUACUGGGCGUAAAGCGUGCGCAGGCGGUUUGCUAAGACCGAUGUGAAAUCCCCGGGCUCAACCUGGGAACUGCAUUGGUGACUGGCAGGCUAGAGUAUGGCAGAGGGGGGUAGAAUUCCACGUGUAGCAGUGAAAUGCGUAGAGAUGUGGAGGAAUACCGAUGGCGAAGGCAGCCCCCU